GCAAGUCGCGGAGCGAGUGGCUAGUUGUCGACCGGUAGCGUGGCAGCGGAUGGAGCGCAUGCGCUCCACCCUCGUGUCUCAAUCCUGUUAUCGAACUUCUCCUUAUCUCAACAAGAGCUGGCCGGCCGUCCGAUAAACAACAAGCAAAAGCGUGCGCCCGCGCCGUUUUGCCUCAUUCGUUCCUCUUGGUUCUUUGCGAUCACAGAUAAUUUGCGAUUAAUUCGUUUCAUUCGAAUCGUUCGCCGCUCCCUUUCGUUCGACAGACGACUAAAACAUCGUUCAGUUGCUCACUCGUUACCGUCGCGAUACCACGACAUUGCGCGCGUUCUUCUCGCAUCAUGAACCAGCAAGCCAACAAUACAUAAACCUUCCAAAAUGAAGCCUCAUCGGUUAUAACGUUUCGUUUAUAAACCUCUAUUUAAUUUAAGAUCGAAUACAUUAUUUUGUGAUAUUUAGUUAAUUCUCCUAUAUUGUUAUAAUUUAUAACUAUUACGAUGAUUUCAAAUUUUAUUGUUUAAAAUAUAACAUCUUUAUUAAAAAUUCAGUGCUCAAAUAAUUUCAUUCCAAAUCGCGCAAUAAUAAAUAUAAAGUAACGUAAAUAUAUUUAUAUUAAUACAACAAAAUGGCAGUAAAAACUCGUUCACAUUGGAAGGAAUAUGGAAUAGCAUUAUGUGCGACCCUCAUUACUGCAACAGCCGGUACUUGCUACGGUUGGCCGUCUCCUACUCUACUGUAUCUUGAAUCAGAAGAAAGUUCAAUACCAACAACUGCCUACCAAGGAUCAUGGAUAGUCUCAAUAAUGAUACUCUGCUCGGCUCUAACACCGAUUCCAUCCGCCUAUCUCGCCGACAAAUUCGGAAGAAAAACUACACUGCUUCUAGGAGCUAUACCCUUCAUAAUCGGCUGGAUACUUGUUAUCGUAGCGAAGUCCUUGCCAAUGCUGUACGUCGCGCGGAUUUUCUCAGGCCUGGGUUAUGGAGUUGUGUACACUGUGGCUCCGAUGUAUACGGGAGAGAUAGCUACGAAUGAAGUUCGAGGUGCCCUAUCAACUCUCAUUACUUUAAUGAACAAAGUCGGAAUUCUUGCUCAAUACUGCAUUGGACCGUUCGUGUCUAUGAGAACGCUGGCGUCAAUCAACUUGAUCCUGCCUUUUACUUUCAUCAUAACUUUCUGUUUCCUACCGGAAUCUCCGUACUAUUAUUUAAAAUUCGAGCGCAGUGACAGAGCAGAACGAUCCCUCAGAAGUCUGCGUAGUGGUGACAUAAGAACUGAGCUCAAAAGUAUAGAGUUGAACGUCCAGGAAGACAUGAAGAAUCGCGGGUCAUGGAGCGAUUUAUUCACAGAAGCCACCAACAAAAAAGCGAUGUGGAUUACUUUAGGGGUUUUCACGGUACAACAGUUUUGUGGCAGCGCUGCAGUCGUUGCGUAUUCACAAUUUAUAUUCAACUGUACCACCGGACCUACCAUACUGCCAAAUGGAACCUUAGAAGAGACAACCCGUAAAAGUAUCGAACCCUAUCAAGAAUCUAUUAUAAUAGGAUGCGUGCAGGUUGCUACCUGUAUCUUGUCCGUACUCCUCGUGGACCGCGUAGGACGCAAACCGCUUCUCUUGCUAUCGACUUUGGGCGUAGGACUAAUGAAUGGAACAAUCGGAACGUAUUUCUACUUUUACGAUACGAACAAGCAAGCCGUACAGAACGUUAGUUGGAUACUUCUAGUGGCCCUUAUCGUUUACAUCGUGUGCUACGCCAUCGGCUUAUCAACCGUGCCGUAUGUUACAAUCGGGGAGAUGUUCCCGACUAAUGUCAAGCUGUACGCGUCCUGCAUAGCACACAUUUAUACAGGCGUCGCUAUGUUUGCAGUGCAGAAUCUCUUCCGGGUAAUUUAAUCAUUUUAUUAAACUAUAUACAUUUAAGCAUCACACAUACAGGGUGUUUUGAAGGCGUUAUAUAACACAAAAACUGUUCACACUGGUCCCUGUCUACUUUAUUUUUUAUUGCUUAUAUGGGUGGACGAGCUCACAGCCCACCUGGUGUUAAGUGGUUACUGGAGCCCAUAGACAUCCACAACGUAAAUGCGCCACCCACCCUGAGACAUAAGUUCCAAGGUCUCAAGUAUAGUUACAACGGCUGCCCCACCCUUCAAACCGAAACGCAUUGCUGCUUCACGGCAGAAAUAAGCAGAGUGGUGGUACCCGCCCACGCGGACUCACAAGAGGUCCUACCACCAGUAAUAAGUAACUACUCUAAUAAGAUACCACAAAGAAAUCACGUUAGAAAUAUUAUAUUAUAUUUUCAAUUAAAAAAUCAGCCCACGUCCAUCGCCAGUCCAAAUCCAGUUACGUCAAUACGUGGGAGUCGUCUGUCUUUCUCAGUAAAACGAAAAGUAUUUAUGAUAGCUUCGCUUAACUAGCUUGCGCCUUCCUAAAUUAAAAUCAGAACAUAAAAGAAUAUUUUUCUUUGAAUAAAUCCUCAUCGCCUGUUCUAACUCAUAGUACGCCCCAACGACUAUAACAAAGUACUUUUAGUUUAAAAUACCAUAGAGAAAUCGGCGACUCCGUGUCUGAUGGUGGUAUAAGACGGACCGCGAGAUCUUCUGCUUAUGUAAAGCAAAAAAUCCGACUGUAGCUGGUUCAAAAUUGCAAAGAAAUUCAAAACAAAUACAAAACUCUAGGAGCCUAUAAACAUUACAACUUAAACGCUGCAAUUAACCCACUGAGUUUCUAGCCGUAUCUCAGUGGGUCGCAAUUCCGGUCCGGUCGUAGACUCAGCGAAGCACUGCUCUUGCUAAGACUAGUGUUAGCAAUUCUCUCACGUUGAGCCCGUUAGCCCAACUAUCGAUUUGAAGUUGGAAUAGCCCCUUAAGCUACCAACGAUUAGGUAGGGAAGAAAAUUUUUUUACUGCAACCUACCUUGAGACGAUAUCGAAAUCUCAAUUUUUAUUUUAUUUUUAUUGCUUAGAUGGGUGGACGAGCUCACAGCCCACCUACUGCUCAGUGGUUACUGAAGCCCAUAGACAUCUACAACGUAAAUGCGCCACCAAUCUUGAGAUAUAAGUUCUAAGGUCUCAGUAUUACAACAAUUACAACGGCUACCCCACCCUUCAAACCGAAACGCAUUACUGCUUUACGGCAGAAAUAGGCAGGGUGUGAGACCUUCCGUAGAUAGUAUUAUAAAUACUACUGUCUCAAUGGAUGCAAUGCAAAAGCUGGCAGUGUUCAUUAUAAUAAUUACAUUGACGUCAAUCCAUGUCUUACAUUUCAAUACUUGACAAUUUAUUUUUACCGAUCACUGCAUUUAAAUGAAGAUCGUCAAAAAACUUAUACGGUAUAUUUGUAUAUGGGUGAUAGACUAAGUUGUUGGUUUUUUUUCCGGUUUUCGGGAUUUGUAGACUUAAUCAGAACUACUAACUACGGUUUAUUAUUGCGGUUUUUUUAUUAUCAUUCUAUUAGCUCCCAAAUUUCGAAUACUUUAAGAAGACUGACCGUUACAACGAAAAGAUAAGAACCGUAAAAGUUAUUUUAGUUAAGCUAUUAAUAGUGUCCGUAAAAACACCGUGUUCACGGGUGUAGGCCGCAAUUAGGAACCACACUGUGAUACAUAUUAUAUUAAACGCAUAUAUUUUUAUGCGGAUUCGUAUACAGCACCAUUAUAGCUAAAUCCAUCGUAGUUAAGAUCUGUCAAAGAAAGUCAGAAUACCCAUUAUUACAAUGCUAAUAAGAUUUUUUUUAUUGCUUAGUUGGGUGGAUGAGCUCACAGCCCACCUGGUGUUAAGUGUUUACUGGAGCCCAUAGACAUCCACAACGUAAAUGCGCCACCCACCUUGAGAUAUAAGUUCUAAAGUCUCAAGUAUAGUUACAACGGCUGCCCCGCCCUUCAAACCGAAACGCAUUACUGCUUCACGGCAGAAAUAGGCAGGGUGGUGGUACCUACCCGCGCGGACUCACAAGAGGUCCUACCACCAGUAGGCAAGAUUGAUAAGUAAUGUGGGGAGCGGCAUUCGCAUUGCGAUGUCCAUGUAUGUAUUCCACAAAAAAAGAAACCUUUACUUAUUAUUAACGUUUUAUUUUCAGGUUGUCGAACAAGCGUAUAAAAUUUACACAGUGUUCUGGGGAUUCACUAUUUUCUCAUUUCUUGGACUCGUCUUCAUGGUGAUGAUGCUACCAGAAACAAAAGGAAAGUCCUUCGCCUCAAUCCAAGCGCAACUGCGCCACGAAGUCGCCAGAGACAACGCAAAGAAAA